UACGUAGGGGGCUAGCGUUAUCCGGAAUUACUGGGCGUAAAGGGCGCGCAGGCGGUAUAUCAAGUCAGCUGUCAAAGACUGGGGCUCAACCCUGGUAUGCGGUUGAAACUGAUAUGCUGGAGUGCUGUAGAGGCAAGUGGAAUUCCCAGUGUAGCGGUGAAAUGCGUAGAUAUUGGGAAGAACACCGGUGGCGAAGGCGACCUGCUGGGCAGCAACUGACGCUGAGGCGCGAAAGCCAGGGGAGCAAACGGGAUUAGA
rnacentral:rRNA from 1 species